GACACCCUGGCCGAGUGGUUAAGGCGAUAGAUUAGAAUCCGUGACUGUGCAACGGCGUGACUGUGCCAGGUCGUGACCAUCUAUUGGGAUUUUCCCGCGUAGGUUCGAAUCCUACGGGUGUCG